CAGUCGAACGAACUCUGGUAUUGAUUGGUGCUUGCAUCAUGAUUUACAUUUGAGUGAGUGGCGAACUGGUGAGUAACACGUGGGAAACCUGCCCAGAAGCGGGGGAUAACACCUGGAAACAGAUGCUAAUACCGCAUAACAACUUGGACCGCAUGGUCCGAGUUUGAAAGAUGGCUUCGGCUAUCACUUUUGGAUGGUCCCGCGGCGUAUUAGCUAGAUGGUGGGGUAACGGCUCACCAUGGCAAUGAUACGUAGCCGACCUGAGAGGGUAAUCGGCCACAUUGGGACUGAGACACGGCCCAAACUCCUACGGGAGGCAGCAGUAGGGAAUCUUCCACAAUGGACGAAAGUCUGAUGGAGCAACGCCGCGUGAGUGAAGAAGGGUUUCGGCUCGUAAAACUCUGUUGUUAAAGAAGAACAUAUCUGAGAGUAACUGUUCAGGUAUUGACGGUAUUUAACCAGAAAGCCACGGCUAACUACGUGCCAGCAGCCGCGGUAAUACGUAGGUGGCAAGCGUUGUCCGGAUUUAUUGGGCGUAAAGCGAGCGCAGGCGGUUUUUUAAGUCUGAUGUGAAAGCCUUCGGCUCAACCGAAGAAGUGCAUCGGAAACUGGGAAACUUGAGUGCAGAAGAGGACAGUGGAACUCCAUGUGUAGCGGUGAAAUGCGUAGAUAUAUGGAAGAACACCAGUGGCGAAGGCGGCUGUCUGGUCUGUAACUGACGCUGAGGCUCGAAAGUAUGGGUAGCAAACAGGAUUAGAUACCCUGGUAGUCCAUACCGUAAACGAUGAAUGCUAAGUGUUGGAGGGUUUCCGCCCUUCAGUGCUGCAGCUAACGCAUUAAGCAUUCCGCCUGGGGAGUACGGCCGCAAGGCUGAAACUCAAAGGAAUUGACGGGGGCCCGCACAAGCGGUGGAGCAUGUGGUUUAAUUCGAAGCUACGCGAAGAACCUUACCAGGUCUUGACAUACUAUGCAAAUCUAAGAGAUUAGACGUUCCCUUCGGGGACAUGGAUACAGGUGGUGCAUGGUUGUCGUCAGCUCGUGUCGUGAGAUGUUGGGUUAAGUCCCGCAACGAGCGCAACCCUUAUUAUCAGUUGCCAGCAUUAAGUUGGGCACUCUGGUGAGACUGCCGGUGACAAACCGGAGGAAGGUGGGGAUGACGUCAAAUCAUCAUGCCCCUUAUGACCUGGGCUACACACGUGCUACAAUGGAUGGUACAACGAGUUGCGAACUCGCGAGAGUAAGCUAAUCUCUUAAAGCCAUUCUCAGUUCGGAUUGUAGGCUGCAACUCGCCUACAUGAAGUCGGAAUCGCUAGUAAUCGCGGAUCAGCAUGCCGCGGUGAAUACGUUCCCGGGCCUUGUACACACCGCCCGUCACACCAUGAGAGUUUGUAACACCCAAAGUCGGUGGG
rnacentral:rRNA from 2 species